rnacentral:rRNA from 1 species
GACGAACGCUGGCGGCGUGCUUAACACAUGCAAGUCGAACGGAAAGGCCCUGCUUUUGUGGGGUGCUCGAGUGGCGAACGGGUGAGUAACACGUGAGUAACCUGCCCUUGACUUUGGGAUAACUUCAGGAAACUGGGGCUACUACCGGAUAGGAGCUCCUGCUGCAUGGUGGGGGUUGGAAAUUUUCGGCGGUUGGGGAUGGACUCGCGGCUUAUCAGCUUGUUGGUGGGGUAGUGGCUUACCAAGGCUUUGACGGGUAGCCGGCCUGAGAGGGUGACCGGCCACAUUGGUACUGAGAGACGGACCAGACGCCUACGGGAGGCAGCAGUGGGGAAUAUUGCACAACGGGCGGAAGCCUGAUGAAGCAACGCCGCGUGCGGGAUGCCGGCCUUCGGGUUGUAAACCGCUUUCGCUUGUGACGAAGCGUGAGUGACGGUAAUGGAUAAAGAAGCACCGGCUAACUACGUG